rnacentral:misc_RNA from 1 species
GAUGAAGAACGCAGCGAAAUGCGAUACUUGGUGUGAAUUGCAGAAUCCCGUGAACCAUCGAGUCUUUGAACGCAAGUUGCGCCCGAAGCCAUCAGGUUGAGGGCACGUCUGCCUGGGCGUCACAUAUCGUUGCCCAAUGCCUAUUGCAGUGCAAUAGGAAUUUCUAGGGCGAAUGAUGGCUUCCCGUGAGCGUUGUUGCCUCGCGGUUGGUUGAAAAUCGAGUCCUUGGUAGGGUGUGCCAUGGUAGAUGGUGGUCGAGUUAGAACGAUACCGAUCAUGUGCAUGCUCCCCAAAAUAUGGCCUCUAUGACCCACACGCGUCUUUUGACGCUCAUGACGAGACCUCAGGUCAGGCGGGGCUACCCGCUGAAUUUAAGCAUAUCAAUAAGCGGAGG